AUUGAACGCUGGCGGCAUGCUUUACACAUGCAAGUCGAACGGCAGCGCGGGGCAACCUGGCGGCGAGUGGCGAACGGGUGAGUAAUAUAUCGGAACGUACCCAAGAGUGGGGGAUAACGUAGCGAAAGUUACGCUAAUACCGCAUACGAUCUACGGAUGAAAGCAGGGGAUCUUCGGACCUUGUGCUCCUGGAGCGGCCGAUAUCUGAUUAGCUAGUUGGUGAGGGAAAGGCUCACCAAGGCGACGAUCAGUAGCUGGUCUGAGAGGACGACCAGCCACACUGGAACUGAGACACGGUCCAGACUCCUACGGGAGGCAGCAGUGGGGAAUUUUGGACAAUGGGCGCAAGCCUGAUCCAGCAAUGCCGCGUGAGUGAAGAAGGCCUUCGGGUUGUAAAGCUCUUUUGUCAGGGAAGAAACGGCGGUGGCUAAUAUCCACUGCUAAUGACGGUACCUGAAGAAUAAGCACCGGCUAACUACGUGCCAGCAGCCGCCGUAA
rnacentral:rRNA from 1 species